CCAUCUCACGUCCUCCCUGCACGGGUCUGGACCGCUCGAAGGAGGAACGGGGAAAGGGUUUUGUGCUUGGGGAGGGAGAUAGAACUAGGCAGCAGGAGCAGCUGUAGGGAGGGGGCAGCUCUUGAGCAGGGCUCACUCUGCCUGUGCUGGAGGCAGACACCUGGUACAUCUCUGCCUGCUGGCACCGGCCGUGGCAGCAUGAGCCCCAUGGAACACUGCCAGUGUCCUCCUUACCUCUGCUCCCAGUAUUCCUGAGCGCUGCGGGCAGGAAAAAGGCUGUCAGGAAUGGCAGGGAGGGCGGCUCAUGGGGUGCAGGCUUCCAGCCCCCGGUGUGGAAAACUGGGAGGUUUCUCCUGACCGCGAGUGGGACAGAACACAAACAGGCUGAAAGCUUUGGCUCCCCUCCUCAGGCAUCCCUCUGCCGCCCCCCUGCCUCCUGCUCCCCCCAGGCAGUCCCAGCACCCAAACCAGCCAGGGGGCUCCGUGACCCUGCGCCCGGCUCCGAGCGGGCCGGGGGGAGGCGCCGGGGGAGGGGCGGAAGCCGCUCCGCUGAGGCUCUGUCGGCACAUCCUCCCCGUGUCCCGGGGAAAGUCCGGCACCCUCGAGUCCCGGGCCGGGCUCAGCAGGAGCGGGGGAGCCGCAGCCUGUGCCGGAGGACACGGAGCUGCCGCGGGCACCGGUGCCUCCGAGCGGGGCUGCCGCCCUGGCAGCGCUGCCGCAGCGCCCGAUGGCUGCGGACGCUCUCUCCGCCUGGCCCGGCAAUGGCACCUUGCCUCGGGCUCCUUGCCCCGUGGAUUCCGCCUUCGCCCAGCGCUUCCUGCCCGCCGUGUACCUGACCGUGAUCCCCCUGGGGCUGCUGGGGAACGGGCUGGGGCUGUGGCACCUCUGCACGGGGCCCCGCGAGGGUGCCCGCCAGCCCCUCAGCCUGCUGGUGGGCAACCUGGGGCUGGCUGACCUGCUCUAUGUCAGCACGCUGCCCUUCCUCGUCAGCUACUACCGCCACGGCAGAGUGUGGAUCUUCGGGCAGCCCUGGUGCCGCCUCACCCGCAGCCUCUUCCACCUCAACCUCUACGCCAGCAUCGGCUUCCUCACCUGCAUCAGCAUCCACCGCUACCUGGGCAUCGUGCACCCGCUGAAGGCGCGGGGAAGAUGCCAGGGUGCAGCCUCCUCCGUGUGGCUCAGCGUGACAGUCUGGGUGUGGGUCGUGGCACAGAUAGCUCCCGAUCUUGCCUUCAGCAAGGCAGAUGGCAACAGGACGCAGUGCCACGACACGACAGGACAGGAGCACCUGCACGUUUACUUGCCCUACACCUUUGCUGUCACCGUGACUGGGUUUGUCAUCCCGUUCCUCAUCAUCAUCGGGUGCUACUGCCACGUGGUGUUCGUGCUCUGCAGGAACGACAGCGUGGACCCCAGCCUCAGGAGGAGAAGCAUCGGGCUGGUGAUUCUCGUCAUGGUUCUCUUUUCCAUCUGCUUCCUCCCCUACCACAUCUUCAGAAACCUCAACUUGUUUUUUCGCUGGCAGCCACAAGGGUCCUGCACACAGGUUUCAAAGGACAUCUAUGUUUCCUACCAGGUGACUCGGGGCCUGGCCAGCCUCAACAGUGCCCUCAACCCCUUGCUCUAUGUGGUUACCAGCAAAGACUGGAGGUCACGAGUGAGGACCAUCCGCCAAAGCGCCAGACAGUGUCUGAGGCCACCCUUCCGGAGCAAAACCUCUUGCCAGGCAGCUGAGAAGAAGAGGAACGACAUUAUUUGUAAGGGAGAGGCUUCUAAUGAGCUCUGAGGAGGAAGACUGAGACAUUAGGAUCAGACCUGGUCCCUGCUCCUUGCAUGUGCGCCCCAGAUCCGGGCUUCUCCAGAGCUCCGAACUCUUCUCCUUUCCUCAACAAACACCCACGCCUCUGAAAGCUGUCCAGCUCUUCCAUCUUCACACAUGGAUCCUGUCUAAGGUUAUGGGCACGCUGCUCCUGGCACAGACGCUGGCAAAGUCUUCUGCAUGUUCU